GAGGGUAUAGCUCAGUGGUAGAGUGCGUGCUUAGCAUGCAUGAGGUCCUGGGUUCAAUCCCCGGUACCUCCA
rnacentral:tRNA from 1 species